rnacentral:rRNA from 1 species
CAUCAACAGAGAGUUCGAUCCUGGCUCAGAUUGAACGCUAGUGGAUGAAAGCUACAUGCAAGUCGAACGGCACGGACUUCGGUCUGGUGGCGAGUGGCGAACGGGUGAGAAUGUAUCGGAACGUGCUCGGUAGCGGGGGAUAACUACGCGAAAGGUAGCUAAUACUGCAUAUCGCCCUUCGGGGGAAAAAGAUGGGGACCUUCGGCCUCGCACCACAGAGCGGCCGAUAUCAGAUUAGCUAGUUGGUGGGGUAACGGUCAGGGUUGGCGACGAUCCAGCUGGUUUGAGAGGACGAAUUGUUACAUCAUCGGGACUGGAGACACGGCCCAGACUCCCGCAUGGAGCAGUGGUGGGGAAUUUUGGACAAUGGGGAAACCCUGAUCCGCUUUAUCUCGGGUGUGUGCGAUGAAGCGCCUUCGGGUUGUAAAAGCACUUUGGUAGGAAAGAAUCGGCACGGGGAUAAUACCCGCAAUCAGAUUGUACCCAGAGAAUAAGCACGAAGGACCACGUGCCAGCAGCCGCGGUAAUACGUAGGGUGCAAGCGUGACUGGAACAUUGGGCGUAAAGCGCGCAGGCGGUUCGGAAAGCAAAGAUGUGAAAUCCAGAGCUAACUUUGGAACUGCAUUUUUAACUACCGAGCAGAGUGUGUUGAGGGAGGUGGAAUUCGCGUACAAGUGAAAUGCGUAGAUAUGCGGAGGGAACACCGAUGGCGAAGGCAGCUUCCUGGGGAUAACACCGACGCUCAUGCACGAAAGCGUGGGGAGCAAAACAGGAUUAGAUACCCUGGUAGUCCACGCCCUAAACGAUGUCAACUAGCUGUUGGGGUCUGGCAGCUAACGCGUGAAGUUGACCGCCUGGGAGUACGGUCGCAAGAUUAAAACUCAAAGGAAUUGACGGGGACCUGCACAAGCGGUGGAUGAGGAUUAAUUGAUGCAACACGAAAAACCCUUACCUACCCUUGACAUGUCUUGGAAUCCCGAAGAGAUUUGGGGAGCGUUCGCAAGAGAAACUGAACACAGGUGCUGCAUGGCUGUCGUCACUGUGUCGUGAGAUGUUGGGUUAAGUCCCGCAACGGCAACCUUGUCAUUAGUUGCUACGAAAGGGCACUCUAAUGAGACUGCCGGUGACAAACCGGAUGAAGGUGGGGAUGACGUCAAGUCCUCAUGGCCCUUAUGGGUAGGGCUUCACAUCGUCAUACACCGGUCGGGACAGAGGGUCGCCAACCCGCGAGGGGAGCCAAUCCCAGAAACCCGAUCAGAGUCCGGAUCGCAGUCUGCAACCUGACUGCGUGGAAGUCGGAACGCUAGCAAUCGCGGAUCAGCAUGUCGCGGUGAAUAAUGUUCCCGGCCCUGUACACACCGCCUGUCACACUAUGGGAGUGGGUUUUACCAGGGCAGUUAGCCCAAAUUGCAAGGAGGCGAUUACCACGGUAGGAUUCAUGACUGGGUGAAGUCGUAACAAGGUA